ensembl:snRNA U6 U6 spliceosomal RNA
GUGCUCGCUUCGGCAGCACAUAUACUAAAAUUGGAAUGAUACAGAGAUUAGCAUGGCCCCUGUGCAAGGAUGACACGCAAAUUUGUGAAGCGUUCCAUAUUUUU